rnacentral:rRNA from 1 species
GAUGAACGCUGGCGGCGUGCCUAAUACAUGCAAGUCGAGCGAACAGACGAGGAGCUUGCUCCUCUGACGUUAGCGGCGGGCGGGUGAGUAACACGUGGAUAACCUACCUAUAAGACUGGGAUAACUUCGGGAAACCGGGGCUAAUACCGGAUAAUAUAUUGAACCGCAUGGUUCAAUAGUGAAAGACGGUUUUGCUGUCACUUAUAGAUGGAUCCGCGCCGCAUUAGCUAGUGGGUAAGGUAACGGCUUACCAAGGCGACGAUGCGUAGCCGACCUGAGAGGGUGAUCGGCCACACUGGAACUGAGACACGGUCCAGACUCCUACGGGAGGCAGCAGUAGGGAAUCUUCCGCAAUGGGCGAAAGCCUGACGGAGCAACGCCGCGUGAGUGAUGAAGGUCUUCGGAUCGUAAAACUCUGUUAUUAGGGAAGAACAAAUGUGUAAGUAACUAUGCACGUCUUGACGGUACCUAAUCAGAAAGCCACGGCUAACUACGUG